CUUUUACACUCCUCGAUCUCCUCCCCAUCUGCCUCUUUACUCUCCUUCCCACCCCUCUAUGUCCUCUCUCUCUUUGCCUCUUUCCUCUCCUCUCCUCCUCAGUCCCCACCGAUCGAGCACCGCUGCCCCCGCCACCGACGGCGCGGGAGGCGGCGCGGCGGCUGCUGGCAGAGGCACGGCGGCGGCUCCGCGAGUGAACGACUAUGACGAGGCGCGACGCCGACGACGAGACGCGGCAGCGGGCGCUACGACGACGACGAGGAGGCGCCGCCGCCCCGGAUCCAGGAGCGGCGAGCCCGGGCGGCGGCGGCGGGCGCGACGACGACCGGGCGGCGCCGGCGCGGAUCCGACCGGAGCGGCGAGCUCGGGCAGCGGCGGCGUGGUUCUCGCGGCAUCGGGCGCGGCAACGACGACGACGAGCGGCACCGACACGGGAUAAUCCGGCUAGGGUGUCUCCCGUUCCUGUGGCUGAUGGAAGAUGUGAGACCAACACCACAACGUUGUGGUGUGUACGGAGUGGUCUUCUCGUCUUCGUGCCGUCUCCAAUGCUGUCGCGACAGAAAGGCAGAGCUAGCACGGUAGCCACAACCUAGGCCGGCUGGGCAGGACCAACAAGCAAAUCAUGGUGUCCAGAAAUUUUCAGCAUCACUGAUGGCGAUGCGAUGCUAACGCUGCUGGAAAAAGGGGCUUUACCCGCCUUUGGUAACCUCUAUAUUUUUGGUUAUGUAACCGGAACCACGAUCCGAGAUUAAAGAUAUUCAUCUUCAAUCUCGGCUAAAAUAACUGGGACUAAAAAUCCUAAAGAUGAUAGUCCCGGCUAAAGUUUAUUUUAUUUUUCUUCAUUGUU